rnacentral:rRNA from 1 species
UAAAGGAAUUGGCGGGGGAGCACUACAACGGGUGGAGCCUGCGGUUUAAUUGGAUUCAACGCCGGGAAGCUUACCGGGGGAGACAGCGGGAUGAAGGUCGGGCUGAAGACCUUACCAGACUAGCUGAGAGGUGGUGCAUGGCCGCCGUCAGUUCGUACUGUGAAGCAUCCUGUUAAGUCAGGCAACGAGCGAGACCCGCGCCCUCAGUUGCCAGCGGGUCCCUUCGGGGACGCUGGGCACACUGAGGGGACUGCCGGCGCUAAGCCGGAGGAAGGUGCGGGCAACGGCAGGUCCGUAUGCCCCGAAUCCCCCGGGCUACACGCGGGCUACAAUGGCCGGGACAAUGGGUACCGACCCCGAAAGGGGUGGGUAAUCUCCUAAACCCGGUCUAACCUGGGAUCGAGGGCUGCAACUCGCCCUCGUGAACCUGGAAUCCGUAGUAAUCGCGUCUCAAAAUGGCGCGGUGAAUACGUCCCUGCUCCUUGCACACACCGCCA